CUUUCUUUGCUGGCGACCGGCGCACGGGUGAGUAACACGUAUCCAACCUGCCCUUUACUCGGGGAUAGCCUUUCGAAAGAAAGAUUAAUACCCGAUGGCAUAAUGAUUCCGCAUGGUUUCAUUAUUAAAGGAUUCCGGUAAAGGAUGGGGAUGCGUUCCAUUAGGUUGUUGGUGGGGUAACGGCCCACCAAGCCUUCGAUGGAUAGGGGUUCUGAGAGGAAGGUCCCCCACAUUGGAACUGAGACACGGUCCAA
rnacentral:rRNA from 1 species